rnacentral:rRNA from 1 species
CGGCUUAGAGUUUGAUCCUGGCUCAGAUUGAACGCUGGCGGCAUGCUUUACACAUGCAAGUCGAACGGCAGCGGGGGCUUCGGCCUGCCGGCGAGUGGCGAACGGGUGAGUAAUGCAUCGGAACGUACCCAGUCAUGGGGGAUAACUACGCGAAAGCGUAGNUAAUACCGCAUACGCCCUGAGGGGGAAAGCGGGGGAUCUUCGGACCUCGCGCGGACGGAGCGGCCGAUGGCAGAUUAGGUAGUUGGUGGGAUAAAAGCUUACCAAGCCGACGAUCUGUAGCUGGUCUGAGAGGAUGAUCAGCUACACUGGGACUGAGACACGGCCCAGACUCCUACGGGAGGCAGCAGUGGGGAAUUUUGGACAAUGGGCGAAAGCCUGAUCCAGCCAUGCCGCGUGCAGGAUGAAGGCCUUCGGGUUGUAAACUGCUUUUGUACGGAACGAAAAGCCUCUUCCUAAUA